GACGAACUGUGCGAACGUUGUUCGGAAUCACUGGGCUUAAAGGGUGCGUAGGCGGCUUGUUAAGUCGGGGGUGAAAUACUUCGGCUCAACCGGAGAAUUGCCUUCGAUACUGGCGAGCUGGAGGAAGGUAGGGGUCGCGGGAACUGCCAGUGGAGCGGUGAAAUGCGUUGAUAUUGGCAGGAACGCCGGUGGUGAAGACGCGCGGCUGGACCUUUUCUGACGCUGAUGCGCGAAAGCUAGGGGAGCGAACGGG
rnacentral:rRNA from 1 species